AAAAGAUGGAAGACAACGUUAUGAGAGCCACAACUAAAAAUUGGAAUAAGUGUUUUAUUGUUACGAAACUGUUAUAUCGUGGUGGUGCUACUCUUUUACCAAGUCGUUUUGUGUGCCUUUAUUCCCUAUCUUUUACAAUCUGUGUCCGGUCGAAUUCCCAAAGUUAUCUGAUAAGUGAUGGCAUCAAAGUAGCGUGGUUUGCCUUCAACUCUUGCCACAACAAACUCUUUUGCCACAGUCAAAUUUCAUUUACUUGCUGACACGAGUCAGCUUGAUAUGCCCCUUUGGAGUGGAUCAAGAAGACGGGGAAUAAAUCCACAUGUUAUUGGCCAAAUGAAGAUGUAGCAGAGAAUGUUACUGUAUUGGUAAAUUUGAUAACAAAUAAGAGAGCUGUUGUUGAUAAAGAAAAUUGGACGGUAUUGAAUGUAACAAUAAUAGCUAAGUUAGACACUUACAGAGGAGCACAAGACCAAUUGAAGAGUGCAAUUGAUGGUGAACAGGUGGUUAGCACUGAUAUAGAAAAAAGAGGAAGACCCAGGUAGCACACAGACUCUGUUUUAGGUCUGUUACAGAUCUGUUUCUGAGAGUCUGUAAAUUGUUUGUAGUGUCACACUUUUACAGACUGUCAUACAGGUCUGUGACAGAUCCGUAAAACGGGAUCACCAUUUACAGACCAAAAACAGAUUUUCAAGAAAAAAAAGAUUUGCCUACCCCUGGUACCGAACCAUCAAUCUCUGAGUUCACAAGCCAGUACACUAAACACUAUACCGUAAUUCGAUAAUUAAUAUUAGAUAUAUUUCAUAAUGAUCUAUAUUUCACAGUUUUACACUUGUACAUUCAGCAAACAGUCUGACAUGUCUCUCUCACGAAACUGAUUGCUACAUAUGACUACCACUGGUCUCUUCCAAUAGUAACAAGACCAAGAUUGGCCCCACACCAAUUACAAGUCUUUAUUAUACCUAUUUAGGUGAUACUUCUCCGUCCGGUGGAUAAACAGCUAUUGUUGUUGUUCGAGAAGGCCUACUAAACUAAACUCAUAGCCAUUAGGCCUGCAUUGACUAUUAGAGUGUAACUUCUUACUGCAUGGUAUUGCAGUGAUAUUACACAUAUAAGAAAACGUUUAAUUCAGUUUUCCAUUGGGAAUCCAAACAUGUACCAUACUUGGGAUACAGACACAGAUAAGAUGAUUACUGACUUAUAGGUGUUACAAGGGAAAUACAGACCCGUACACACCCGGGGCACAAACACAGAACAGAUAAUCACUGAACUAAUUUUUGCAUAGAAAAUACAGACCUGUACCAUACCUGGGGUACAGACUCAGAACAGAUUAUUACUGACUCAUGUCUUACAAGGGAAAUACAGACCCGUACCAGACCUGGAGUACAGACACAGAACAGAAACAUAUUGUACUCGGUAAUACAGAGUAAAAACAUGCAUGUGACAUACCUGUAAUACAGAAGAAAAAAAGAAUGUCUUUCUACAGAGUAAAAACAGACAAGUGA